GUAAUAAUUUUCUGUGUAAGCAGUUGAAAAAAACUGUAAAAAGAUGACUUCUCACAGAACCAGUCACAAAAUAUACUGUAGGGAAGAAGGCAAACAAUCAUACAAGUUCUUAUGAUUAACAUUUACAGUUUUUUACGAUUGCCCUUACGAAAGGAAAAUAUAUUUACCAAUAUAUUACUUGAAAUAUAUUGUAAUAUAUUGCAAUAUAUUAUUUUACUUUCCAUUUUCCAAUAUAUUAUACAUUGGCAAUACAUGGAAUAAUAUAUUGAUGGUACAUAUAUUCUAUAUAUGUGUAAUAUAUUGCAGUAUAUUGCAAAAUAUACAAAUUAUUGCCACUUUCAAUAUAUUGUACAUGGAUAUAAUAUAUGUGUUUAUAUAUUUAAAAAUAUAUGCAAUAUUAUAUUUAUAAAUAUCUGCAAUAUUGUAUUUUGAUUUAUAUGCGAAAAUGUAUUAACAAUAUAUGUAGAGAUAUUGUUUCACAUAUAUGUUUACUAUAUGGUAGAAUAUAUUUCAAAUAUAUGUAAAAUUAUUAGCCUUAAUAGGCUAUUAUUUUACAACUUCUAUUAUGUAAACCUCAGAGAAUUACCGAGGUCCGGACCUCGGGGACCUCAAUCGUGGAUAUAGCCAUGCCUAUGAAUAGGUCAAAGGUCAGAUUACCUGUUUUGGCAAUCUGCACCCCCCACCACCAAUUCCUGGACCGGGACCCCAGACACAAUUUACUGUAUUCUACUGUAAAGAAUAUAUUUUUGGUUUACAUGUUUAUAGUUUUGUUGUAUGCUAAUGUAUACAACAGUAAUGUUUGGACUAAUAAAUAUUUUCUGUUUCUACAUUGCAUUGGCGUUUCCGGUCUACUUGUUACCCCUCUCAGCAGAUUACUUUCACUGGAGAACAUUGUAUUGAAAUGUAGAUAUAAAGACCAAAGAGCUUUAGAUUUAGAACAGCAGUGUUUAGAUGGUAUAUCCAAAAAUGUAUUAUUAUGAAAAAAGUGUUUGCCAUUUGAUGCAAAUGCUUCAUUCUGACAUGUGUUUAUGGCAUUUUGAAUGCAGUGUUGCAUUUUGAAGGAGAUGUGAGCUACUUUGCAUUUUGUGUGUGCAGUUUUGAGAAUUGUGUGUAGAGUUUGGAAAAAAAGGAGAGUUAGUUUUGAAAACGUGUUUAAACUUGUUAACACGCACCGGCCCGGCGGCGGGCCCUAGGGGGCGUUUUUACGUGUUUUUGUACUUUGUUUAACAUCAAAUAUUCAAUCAACAAUCAUAAACUUUGCAUUAUUUGAAAGUUUAAACACUCCAAAUUCAUGUUCUGAGCUUAUUUUUGCAAUCAAUACACUGGUGUGGAAAAAAUUAAAUGAAAUGCAGACGGAAUGCAUAUAAAAAAAUUUGUGGGUACUCACAUGGCUUGCCAUAUGGUUCUGACAAUUUCUGACAAUUCCCAAAAACUUCAACGUACAUUGCAAGGUAAGGGUCCACUCUUCAAAAAGCAUCCCACGUUUUAAUCCAAAACAAUGAAAAAUAGUGAGAAAUCCAGCAAUAUCCUCCUUUGUUUACAUCCGCGCGUCCGCUAAGUAUGAUCGAUCAUGUUUAUUUUCUAUCAAAUAUCGAUUUUUAUCAGUGAAAAUCCAUCUCUUCCUGCUUCGUUAGACUGUUCAGAUAAAUAUCCCGCCCUAUUUUUCUGUUUUGUCCAAUCAGAAAAGGUUUGACAACUCAAAAUCUCAUGCGAUCAAUGAUUUGCCUAGAUAGAUGUCCUUCAGCUUGCCAUAGGCUUUUGACUGGAUUACACCAAAACAAAGCCAGCCAAUGCAUAGUGAGCAAAGCUUUGAUUGACAGAGGAAGUAACCAAUCAUGAAACGAUUACAAGGAUUCAACUUACGUCAGUAAAGUGUACUUCUGCGCAAAUCUACAGAAGCGCAUGGAGAGAAAUGCCCACGCCCCCUCCGUGCGCGUUUGUUUGUUUGGGUAGCAUAGCAGCCGGCUAAGCUCUCCGGAGCCGCUGAGAAACCUCUUCAAAUGUUAGAUAUAACAUCUCCAUUGUGGAUCGUGGACUACAGAUGACUUUUUUGUGUUGAAAGUGUUUUGGAGAAGUUGAUAAAGAGCAUGAUCGCGGAUCAACAAUGCAAGACUGGAUGUAAACAAAGCGCGUCGUCGAGGAGAGAUGGACCGGAUUAUGAGCUCAGCUGCGCUCGCUUGGAUAAAGACUUCAGCUGACACAGGAGGACUGGAAUCUGGAGUGCAUUCAUGAGCGACCAUAUUCAAAAUAGCAAGUAUUUUGUUAUAAUGUGCAAAUGUUUUUUUCUGAAAUAGUUUUUUCUAUGUGCUUUGGUGGGCAGAGAAGUUCUGAAUUGAUAUACAUAAUGUAAUAUGUAGUCCUGACUCAUUUUCUUUUUAUAAUCAUGUCAUAUUGUUAUCAUGUGUAUAUUUGGAGUUUCCAAGUGCACUUUUUCUGAAAGGACGCCUGGACUUUUUUGAAAUAAAAGCUCACAGAAACAACA